rnacentral:rRNA from 1 species
UGGUAGUGUAUUGGACAACCAAGUCGAUCACGGGUAACGGAGAAUUAGGGUUCGAUUCCGGAGAGGGAGCCUGAGAAACGGCUACCACAGCUACGGUAGGCAGCAGGUGCGUAAAUUACCCAAUCCAAAAUCUGGAAGGUAGUUACAGGAAAUUUGUUGCAUGGGGUUCUACCCCAGACACAAACGAACACAUGUAAGUAUUGUGUGUUUAAUUGGAGGGCAAGUUUUGGUGCCAGCAGCCGCGGUAAUUCCAACUCCAAGAGUGUAUCUUAAUGUUGCUGCAGUUAAAAAGCUCGUAGUUGAACCUCUGGCUAGUGAGGGCCCAUUCGGGCCGAUCGCUAGUCAUCCGCUCGGGGAAGCAGUAUUUCCUUAACCGGUUUUACUGUAGAUCCAGCAUUUUACUUUGAAGAAAUUAGAGUGUUCCUGGCAGGCUUAGCUUGCAUAUAUUAGCAUGGAAUAAUGGAAUAGGACCUUGUCUGUUUUAUUGGUUGACAGAUAGGUAAUGAUUAACAGGGACAGUCGGGGGCAUUCGUACUCAGUGGCUAGAGGUGAAAUUCUUAGAUUCGCUGAAGACGAACUAAUGCGAAAGCAUUUGCCAAGGAUGUUUUCAUUAAUCAAGAACGAAAGUUAGGGGAUCAAAGACGAUUAGA